rnacentral:rRNA from 1 species
ACAAGCGGAGGAACAGUGUGGUUAAUUCGAUGAUACGCGAGGAACCUUACCUGGGCUUAAAUGUAGAGUGCAUUUUUAGAGAUAGAAAUUCCUUCGGGCUUUCUGCAAGGUGCUGCAUGGUUGUCGUCAGCUCGUGCCGUGAGGUGUCGGGUUAAGUCCCAUAACGAGCGCAACCCUUAUCGUUAGUUGCCAGCUGGUAAAGCAGGGGACUCUAGCGAAACUGCCACCGUAAGGUGAGAGGAAGGUGGGAUGACGUCAAAUCAGCACGGCCCUUAUGUCCAGGGCUACACACGUGUUACAAUGGCCGGCACAGAGGGCAGCUACCUGGUGACAGGAUGCUAAUCUCGAAAACCGGUCUCAGUUCGGAUCGAAGUCUGCAACUCGACUUCGUGAAGCUGGAUUCGCUAGUAAUCGCGCAUCAGCCAUGGCGCGGUGAAUACGUUCCCGGGCCUU